rnacentral:lncRNA from 1 species
UCCAUAUUUACAGCAGAUACACAUCUUAAAUGCACUGCCAAGAAUUAGGACAAUCUUUAUCAGUCUCUUCACAGGCUCAAAAAUGGUAACUACGUACAAUGAGAUUUCAAUAGCAACACACCCUGUCAAGAAACAAAAGCUGUAUGAUUUCAUUAGGCACAAAAAGCAACCAAGGUCCAAAUUAGAGAAAUUACAGAGAGGCAUAUCAUAUAAGCACCCCAAGAAUGUUUAAGGAAAAAGAUCAAAUAAAAAAAACCAAACUGUCCGAAUAGAAAUAACUGAUUUUGAGGAAUGAUAAACCUAAGACGAGAACUCCACAAUUAGAUUUUUUUUUUUUUGGCUUAUAAAACUCCAGAUAAGCAAGUUAAUAUCAGCUCUAGCAAUUGAGUAUCACAUAGCCAGCACAACAUUACUUACAAGAUAACAAUUGCUUGCUAAGUCAUUAAAACCUAAAAACCAGGGCACUAAGUUGGUUUAGAAAUUUGACAUUAAAAAUAUAAACAUCACUUAUCAGUACAUAUUCAACCAAUGGUGCAGAAGCUUCCUUGCAAUUGCCCCGUCUUAAAACAGAAAAUAAUUCAAACACAUGUAGAGUCCUUACUUUACAAAAUAUUCUUUGGUAUAAAAGUAAGAAGUAAGAUCAUAAACAUUCACCACCAUGUAGUAAGGAAACCGAGUGCACACAGAGUCGCAUAAGAGGCAACUAGAGGAAGGACACAGAAUGGCAAUUCUCAAUUUCAUUAUCCUUAAUUAUAAGAGAAGAAAGAAAAAGGACGCAAUUUCGAGGAGGCCAGGUCUCAAAGGAAGCAUCAGUUUUUUCUCCUUGAAACAAUCUACUGGAGCUUUCAUGUAAGUAGGGUUCUUUAUGGGCUACAAGAUACUCAUUGAACGCCCACCUAAAGCCUACUCAUUAUUUUAUGUCCAUAUUUACAGCAGAUACACAUCUUAAAUGCACUGCCAAGAAUUAGGACAAUCUUUAUCAGUCUCUUCACAGGCUCAAAAAUGGUAACUACGUACAAUGAGAUUUCAAUAGCAACACACCCUGUCAAGAAACAAAAGCUGUAUGAUUUCAUUAGGCACAAAAAGCAACCAAGGUCCAAAUUAGAGAAAUUACAGAGAGGCAUAUCAUAUAAGCACCCCAAGAAUGUUUAAGGAAAAAGAUCAAAUAAAAAAAACCAAACUGUCCGAAUAGAAAUAACUGAUUUUGAGGAAUGAUAAACCUAAGACGAGAACUCCACAAUUAGAUUUUUUUUUUUUUGGCUUAUAAAACUCCAGAUAAGCAAGUUAAUAUCAGCUCCAUCAAGGAAUCAAUAUCAGCUUUCUCAAAUCAAAACUAUUCUCAAGCAAUAAAGGUCCGCAUCCCAGUGUUACUACAAAAAAUCAAGAAUUCUUAAUCACCUAAAGGACUGGCUUUUGCAUAUAAAGACAUCUUCAACUGUCAAAAAAGCUCCAUAUACAUAAAUGAACGAGAUUUCCAUGAUCCAACCACAUUAUCUAUGUUACUUGAUACAGAUUAAACACAUGCUUCUUCAAAAACAAUUACCUUCUGAACAUAGCAAGCAAAAUGACAUUCUCAGAAUCAGAAUACAAAUACCUCACCAAACCUAACGCACAAAAUGACAUUCCACACACGCACGCACGCACACGCACAUAUAUAAAUAUAUAUAUGCACAUAUCCAUGCAAAUAUACAUUUUCCCACACAUACAAAUGGCCAUGUUAAAUUCCAAUAACACAAUUGCUACAAUGUUUUCCGCACUAGUAAGUCUGCCAAACAUCAAAUUUAAAAAUUUGACAGUCAAGACCAGCUCGAACACAACUCAUGCCUUCCAUAAUCACUUGCAAAACUUUAGCUAAAAAAUGCAAAACCCAAAAAGUAUCUUUAUCCCUAACAUACGAAUUAAAUCCAAAACUAUGUCAAAAUAUACAAAACUUGUUAAAGAAUCAUCACCGAACAGCUUCACUUAUACCUGGAACCAUAAAAAUCCCAAAACUUUCUAAUCAGUCCACUAAAUUAACUCAGAAUUAGGCACAAAUUCACCACACAUUCGACAUACUCCUAAAACUUAACAAGCCCAGAAAAAUAAAUUUAAAAAAUUAGUUGUAUGCACCAAAAAUCCAAUCUUAAAGCAAUGAACAGCUGGACAAUUCAGGUAAACAUGGACAGAAACCACAAAACCCUAGAUCUGAUAUUUGAAAAUUUCUAAAUAGAUAAAAUU